rnacentral:lncRNA from 13 species
GGGGGACAUAGCAAAGACAAUAUGUGCUCUUUGCUCCUUGUUCUGAAGCAAGCAGGAGCCUCUAAAACGCCUGCAAUUUCACAAAGGAUUACGACGCCCUGGCUGUACAAUGAGGUGACUCCUGGUGCUUCCUCAACAGCUUCAAAAUGGGGGUGGUCCCAGAAACACCCACCAUAUCAUUAAGAGGGUGGAAUUCUGGGCCAGCCCAACCUCCAGGGAGGAAAGAGACAACAAAAGUUCCAGGAGAGGGGACCUCUCUGAAGAGGCCACAGGAUCCUCUCUGAGACCUACUGGUAUACGAGGUCUUCUGUUUCAUUUUGUUCGCGUACUCACUGAUUUUUUUUUCCGGAGACCCAGCUGUGAUUCACAGGUGUCAGACCUGGGGAGAGGUGUGAGUCUCGCUUACGACCCCCUGUAGGAUCUGCUGCACGCGGCCAGCAGCACCAUCUGGUCAGCAGCAUUCAAGGGUGGCUCAGUCACAGGUGAAGUGUGCCACUGUCACACCUGAUAGUGUAAAGCAGUGCACAGCUAUAGGGGGAGAUUCGGAAGAGCAGGAACGACGGCACGGCCUGGGCACUGUCACCAGGGAAUUCUGUUUACAGCAGCAAAAAUAGGGCAUGGACGGGGCACGAUGUGAGAUUCACUAGAACAUGAGACAAGGAUAGGUCCAGAUGGUUGCAUGGAAUUCUACAGACAGGGGACAAGGGCAGGACUCGGACAGUGGUCACCGUGGGGUUCUAUAGACAGGGCACAAGGACAGGAUUUGGACAGUGGUCACCGUGGGAUUCUAUAGACAGGGCACAAGGACAGGAUUUGGACAGUGGUCACCAUGGGAUUCUACAGACAGGGGACGAGGACAGGAUUUGGACAGUGGUCACCGUGGGAUUCUGUAGACAGGGGACGAGGACAGGAUUUGGACACUGGUCACCGUGGGAUUCUACAGACAGGGGACGAGGACAGAAUUUGGACACUGGUCACUGUGGGAUUCUAUAGACAGGGCACGAGGACAGGAUUUGGACACUGGUCACCGUGGGAUUCUGUAGACAGGGUACGAGGACAGGAUUUGGACAGUGGUCACUGUGGGAUUCUGUAGAUAGAAUCUGUUUGGGAAGCUGAGAACUUCUAGAGACGCGUGGUGGAGACAGUUGCACAGCCGUGCCACUGAACCUUACACUUACAAAGAGUUAAAAUGUGCCUGUCAUCCCAGCACUUUGGGAGGCUGAGGCAGAAGGCUUACCUGAGGUCAGGAGUUCAAGACCAGCCUGGUCGACAAGGUGAAACCCCGUCUCUACUAAAAAUACAAAAAUUAUCUGGGUAUGGUGAUACCUGGCUAUAAUCCCAGCUACUCAGGAGGCUGAGGCAGGAGAAUUGCCUGAACCCAGGAGGUGGAGGUUGCAGUGAGCACAGAUCGCGCCAUUGCACUCCAGCCUGGGCAACAAGAGCGAAACUCCGUCUCAAAAAGAAAAAGAAAGAGGCCAGGCACGGUGGCUCACGCCUGUAAUCCCAGCACUUUGGGAGGCCGAGGCGGGCGGAUCACGAGGUCAAGAAAUCGAGACCACCCUGGUCAACAUGGUGAAACCCCGUCUCUACUAAAAACACAAAAACUUAGCUGGGCAUGGUGGCGUGUGCCUAUAAUCCCAGCUACUCAGGAGGCUGAGGCAGGAGAAUUGCCUGAACCCAUGAGGCGGAGGUUGCGGUGAGCCGAGGUUGCACCAUUGCACUCCAGCCUGGGUAAUGGGAGUGAAACUCCGUCUCAAAAAAACAAAAGAAUUUUGAGAUGGUUCAUUGUGGAUCGUCGCAGUGAAACCAAUGCAAUCACAAGGGUCUUAUCAGAGUCAAGCAGAGGGAGACGAGGGAGCUUUGAGUGCAGAUGAGAUGUUCAUCUGAUGGACGCAGAGACUGGAGCCUCCUCCCUUACCCUCCUCAGAGCGAUCUUGGCCUUUCUGAAUCUUGCCUUCAGACUUCUCGUCCCAAGAACGGAGAGAGAACAAACCUCUCUUAAGUCUCCAACAAAUUGGUAGUCAGUUGUUACAGCAACACAGGAAACGUACACAUCUUCUGAUACUUCUGAAAGCCUCACCCAGCCAGAGGGUACGUCCUUGGCACAGAGGCUCAGUCUUAGUCACCACCAAGGAAGGCUCAAUCCUUUCUCUGCUGUUAGAGACAUAAGUGUUGCAUUCUCAAAUUCCAACAUGGAGAAGUCAGUCAUCUGCAAUGCUUUCAAGAGAGUAGUGCGUGUACCCUGCGAGCCUGCGCUCCUUAUGUGUGAGGCUGAUGGCCGCUGGUUGGCUUAUUUUAUUUUUUAUUUUUAUUUAUUUAUUUAUUUAUUUUGAGACGGAGUUUCAAAAUACUCCGUCUUGUUACCCAGGCUGGAGUGCAAUGGCGCGAUCUCGGCUCACCAAAACCUCUGCCUCCUGGGUUCAGGCAAUUCUCCUGCCUCAGCCUCCCAAGUAGCUGGGAUUACAGGCACGUGCCACUGUGCCCAGCUAAUUUUUUGUAUUUUUAGUAGAGACGGGGUUUCACCAUGUUGACCAGGAUGGUCUCGAUCUCUUGACCUCGUGAUCCACCCACCUCGGCCUCCCAAAGUGCUGGGAUUACAGGCUUGAGCCACUGCGCGUGACCUGGCUUAUUAUCCAUUCCCCUAAGUGACAAAAUCCCACUGACUACUCAAAUCCAACAUUAGCUCCUGGCACACCUGUAUGUUGGAAUCACAAUUAGCUGCGAUUCCGGGAUGGAAUUCAGACUAAUUGCGGGAGCACCUGCCUCUUCCAUGCCUGGUUCCUUGUUCUCAGAUGGGUAAGUUUGCCCUGUUAAGUCAUUUAAAUGAAAAUAAUAAAUGUAUGGUUUGGCCUCUUUAAAAAAAAAAA